GAGACGCCCCUUCCACUCAAGUUAUAUUUUAAUAGUAAUUGGAGCCCACAAGGGGCACCUCUACCCAGCGGGGGCCCCUUCAUUCUCCUCAGUUCCCAAGGCUGACAAAUCCUUCCCCUUAACUACACCCUCCCCUUCCACAUCCAAGCUUGCUCAGAAUUCUCUGUUCCCAUCAAGAUACAAAAGGCUAAGCUUAAAAGGAUAAUACAGAAUCGUAUCUGGACUUUUGAGCAUUAGAUUUCUUGCAGGCUAAAGCUCUUCUGAAACAGCGUCUUCCUUCUGAGUAGUUGCACGCUACAGCUGGACCCCUCUGCCAACGUGGGUAUGCCACCAGCCGUCUGGCACACCGUGCUGAUCAGUAGAUAACACCUUCCCACACUCACAGCAGCCGCUGCCAUGGACAAAGCCCCAGCGGCCAGCAGGCAGCCCUGCGGAAUGCGCUCACUGCCUCUCCACCUGCUGUCACCUCCUUGGGUCCCCCGAGGUCCUCCUCAUUGCUGACAGUCAUGGCGGCGGCUUGACCUCAGGCCUUGCAGCUGGCUGGCUUCCAGAAAGUCCCUCUGACAACAAGGUGUACUGAAGACUGUGCUCACAGCAUUCAGGCACAGAGCAGGGGUCGGAGAGAAAAGCCUGCUGCACUUACCUCCGGCCCUGUUUUCCCGCAGUGGCAGGAAUGCUGCAGUUUUCUGUCUGGCAGCUUCUCCCUGGCCCGGCAGCCUAGAUGCAGUGGGAGACCAGACCUGGACCUCCACGGUGAGUGGAAGCAGCAAAAAAUAACAAUAAAAAAUGAAAGAAAGAAAGAAA